rnacentral:rRNA from 1 species
AUGCCGCCAGCCACGCCGGCAGAAUCGAGCACCUCUGCGCCUGCUGGUGAUCAAGAUGAGGCAACAGAUAAAGAUGAAUUCAUUUAUGUGUCACUGCAUUAUUUUGGCAAAUUUCAGACAGUGCAAGGAUUGGUUGAAUACAAGGAAGGGAUGAUGAUAACAUUUCCUAUUGAGAGGAAAGACCUACAGUUGCAGACAUUGUUUUCCUAUGCAGAGGACAUGUAUCAUAUCGAAAGAGGACAUUGCAGAGGGAAUCAUAGGUACAAGAUGCAUUGGCUUGUUCCAAGAAAAAGUUUGAGUGAUGGUUUGCUGUUUAUUCAUGAUGAUUCAGCUGUGGAGAAUAUGGAGCAUGCAACACCUUUUGGAUCAAGUGCAGAGAUCUAUGUGGCGGAAGUGGCAUUUUAUGAAGAAGCAUGA